rnacentral:rRNA from 1 species
UACGUAGGGUGCGAGCGUUAAUCGGAAUUACUGGGCGUAAAGCGUGCGCAGGCGGUUUUGUAAGCCAGAUGUGAAAUCCCCGGGCUUAACCUGGGAAUGGCAUUUGGGACUGCAAGGCUGGAGUGCGGCAGAGGAGACUGGAAUUCCUGGUGUAGCAGUGAAAUGCGUAGAUAUCAGGAGGAAUACCGAUGGCGAAGGCAGGUCUCUGGGCUGACACCGACGCUCAUGCACGAAAGCGUGGGGAGCAAACAGG